CGCCCUCCAUCCGCUGCGUUCUCUGCUACAAACGAACUGCCCCUGCGUAGGCCCGCAGUUGAGCGUUCUUCUAUCCUUGCAGAUGAGAAAUUCGGAGUAAUCUUCACCCUAUACCGCUGUCUUUGGCCGAAUAUGGCUGGAGACAGUUGGACUGCCCGCGAGGGCCUGGCACGAUUCCGUGCCUGCAAUUGGCAUCAGAAAUCUACAGGGCUUCGAGAUCGAGAUGCAGGCUCGCCUGUGUCUCUUUUCUCGGGGGUUUCCCUAUGGAAGAGCCAUUGCGAAGAUUGUUGGCAUCGCCUCAACUUUAGUGCAAUCGCAGCGGGAUCUCACCCUUUUCCCUACAGUGUAGGGAAUCGGGAAGGUUUCCAUUCGAUUCCGAUUACUCUGGAGGGCG
rnacentral:RNase_P_RNA from 2 species